GAUGAAACGCUAGCUACAGGCUUAACACAUGCAAGUCGAGGGGAAACGGCAUUUAGUGCUUGCACUGAAUGGACGUCGACCGGCGCACGGGUGAGUAACGCGUAUCCAACCUACCCAUUACUGUGGGAUAACCUGCCGAAAGGCAGACUAAUACCGCAUAGUCUUCGAUGACGGCAUCAGAUUUGAAGUAAAGAUUUAUCGGUAAUGGAUGGGGAUGCGUCUGAUUAGCUUGUUGGCGGGGUAACGGCCCACCAAGGCAACGAUCAGUAGGGGUUCUGAGAGGAAGGUCCCCCACAUUGGAACUGAGACACGGUCCAAACUCCUACGGGAGGCAGCAGUGAGGAAUAUUGGUCAAUGGGCGCGAGCCUGAACCAGCCAAGUAGCGUGCAGGAUGACGGCCCUAUGGGUUGUAAACUGCUUUUGUAUGGGGAUAAAGUCAAUCACGUGUGAUUGUUUGCAGGUACCAUACGAAUAAGGACCGGCUAAUUCCGUGCCAGCAGCCGCGGUAAUACGGAAGGUCCGGGCGUUAUCCGGAUUUAUUGGGUUUAAAGGGAGCGUAGGCCGGAGAUUAAGUGUGUUGUGAAAUGUAGACGCUCAACGUCUGACUUGCAGCGCAUACUGGUUUCCUUGAGUACGCACAACGUUGGCGGAAUUCGUCGUGUAGCGGUGAAAUGCUUAGAUAUGACGAAGAACUCCGAUUGCGAAGGCAGCUGACGGGAGCGCAACUGACGCUUAAGCUCGAAGGUGCGGGUAUCGAACAGG
rnacentral:rRNA from 1 species